GGGGGUGUAGUUAAGUGGUAUAAUGCUCGACUCCAAAUCGAGCGUCGGGGGUUCGAUUCCCUCCGCCCCUGCCA
rnacentral:tRNA from 1 species